GACGAACGCUGGCGGCGUGCUUAACACAUGCAAGUCGAACGAAGUGGCGAACGGGUGAGUACCGCGUAAUCAACCUGCCCUUCAGAGGGGGACAACAGUUGGAAACGACUGCUAAUACCGCAUACUGAAGGAGGGGAUUGCGUCUGAUUAGCUAGCUGGAGGGGUAACGGCCCCCCAAGGCGAUGAUCAGUAGGCGUGCUGAGAGGCUGAACGGCGACAUUGGUACUGUGACACGGCCCAGACUCCUACGGGAGGCAGCAGUGGGGAAUCUGCCGCAAUGGACGAAAGUCUGACGGAGCAACGCCGCGUGAGUGAUGACGGCCUUCGGGUUGUAAAGCUCUGUUAAUCGGGACGCGGUACCGGAAUAGAAAGCCACGGCUAACUACGUGCCAGCAGCCGCGGUAAUUC
rnacentral:rRNA from 1 species